AGCCCUAAACUCAAAUUAAUUAUAAAAACAAAAUUAUUCGCCAGAGUACUACCGGCAACAGCCCGAAACUCAAAGGACUUGGCGGUGCUUUAUACCCUUUCUAGAGGAGCCUGUUCUAUUAAUCGAUAAACCCCGAUAAACCUCACCAAUCCUUGCUAAUACAGUCUAUAUACCGCCAUCUUCAGCAAACCCUAAUAAAAGGGACAAAAGUAAGCUCAAUAAUAACACAUAACGACGUUAGGUCAAGGUGUAACCUAUGGAGUGGGCCGAAAUGGGUUACAUUUUCUACCCAAGGAAAUUUAAUACGAAAGCCAUUAUGAAAUUAAUAGCCAAAGGAGGAUUUAGCAGUAAACUAAGAAUAGAGUGCUUAGUUGAAUCAGGCCAUGAAGCACGC
rnacentral:rRNA from 1 species